rnacentral:lncRNA from 13 species
CAGACAUGAUGCCCUGGGCCUUGUAUACAUUCAGCCAUUUGAUUCUAAUCUGUACCUUAUAGAUGGACAAAUUGAGGCCCAUUUAUAAAGUGUUGAGGCCCAGAGCUGUGUUACCCAGCGAGUUAGUGCCACGAUUGAGAGCUUCAGGGCCCAUAAUCUAAAGCAGCUCCUGCCACCAUCCCUGUUUUGCAGCCUCAGCUGGACCUUGGACAGGCUGGAAGCUGGGAUUAAACCCAAGGGUCUAGAUUGCCUGACACCUUGGUGGACACGUUUUAUUUUUCUUUUCUGGUGUCCCUCCUCUAUAGGGGUCAUGGUCUCCUGAUUUUCUUUUUUCAUUCCAGAGGUGAGUACUACUUCUCAGAGCCUUCUCCGACCAGAUCGGCUGUCCUCAAACUUCAGUUUGGCUUCAUCUCUUUCAGUCUCCCGCUUGUGCAGAUGAGAAAACUGAGACUCAGAGAAGCUGAUGUGGCUUGUGUAAAAAUCUGCACUAGUAACGACAGAAGUAGGACAAGAAGGCAGAUUCCUAGUCACCAAGUCCAGUAAGAUUUGGGGCAAUCACUGAGAAUUUUUGACUUCAGCAUAAGGUAAAGAAGAUAAGAAAGUAUCCAAGAGGCAUAACAUUUUAAUCUGAAAGCAUUGCAAUAUGAUGACUCCUUGAGCAACAUAAGAAAUUCGAAUUUCCUUUACAGCUGCAAAGAAGAGAAGUUUACUCCUUCCAACUCGUCGUUCUUGGCAAAGUAGGCAUAAAUGGCACUUUAUUCCUUCCGUUUCCAGUUGGAGGUUCUUCUGUUUUGAGCAUGUGUGUUCCUCUUUUCUGGAGGUUUUUCUUGACAGAAGCAGAGAGGUUUUUGACAAACAACUUUAAUAUUCUUUGUGUCUGUGUGGCUGGCUCUAAUAAUCCUGCAAGCUUACAAGGUCACUGUUAAGAUUAAAUCUGAGUCAUCGGAGGCAGAUGUUGACACAUCAUUAUUUAAAUCCUGAGCUGCUGAAGGACUCUCAUCCCCAUGAGCUAUGAUUCAUUGUCCAAACGAACACCCCAAAUUCCACAUAGGUUGCUGAGCAGAGACUCUGGACUCCAUUAGGGAAAAAGGUUUGCCUUUGUGUGUGAGAAAGCCCUACUUCUGGUUGCAGAAGCAACGGGGUCUACAGGGAGAGUGAAUGUUUCAGAAGACCUGGGCUCCUGUCUCAUCUCUUGCUCUGGGCUUUAUUUUAUUACCUGCUCUUCAUAAACUUUCCCAUAAUUUACACUUGCACGUUUAUUUAUAUGUUAUUGAUUUUUUAUUGAAGUAUACUUUUUAAAGUAAAAUGUGUUAUGUGUCCAGCUUGAUGAAAUUUUGCAAACGUGUACUCUAAGUCAGCAUCAUGCAUAUGACAUGGAACGUUUUCACCACCCCAGAAGGUUCCUUUGUGCCCUUUCCCAAUCAGUAACCCUUCAAGGU